CUACGGGUGGCUGCAGUGAGGAAUAUUGCACAAUGGAGGAAACUCUGAUGCAGCAACGCCGCGUGGAGGAUGACGCAUUUCGGUGUGUAAACUCCUUCUAUAUGUCAAGAAAAUGACGGUAGCAUGUGAAUAAGCACCGGCUAACUCCGUGCCAGCAGCCGCGGUAAUACGGAGGGUGCAAGCGUUACUCGGAAUCACUGGGCGUAAAGGACGCGUAGGCGGGAUAUCAAGUCAGGUGUGAAAUCCUACAGCUUAACUGUAGAACUGCACUUGAAACUGGUAACCUAGAGUAUGGGAGGGGGAGAUGGAAUUAGUGGUGUAGGGGUAAAAUCCGUAGAUAUCACUAGGAAUACCUAAAGCGAAGGCGAUCUCCUGGAACAUAACUGACGCUAAGGCGUGAAAGCGUGGGGAGCAAACAGGAUUAGAUACCCCGGUAGUC
rnacentral:rRNA from 1 species